CCUUGGAGCAUCCAGGGAGUGGCCAACAGUACUAAAUGCUGAAAACCCAGAGUACACGAGUAUCAGCCUAUGAAUGUCCCACACCAAAUGCCAGGAAACCCUGGAGUAUCCAGGGGCUGACCAGUGCAGAAAAUCCUGGAGCCUCAGUGGGGUGGCCAACAAUGAGCCCCAAAGGCCCGGUUGGGGCCAUAGAACAAUGUGACUCUGGCUUCUUAGAGUCAACAGAACAGGAGAAUUCUUACAUCCAAGUGUCCUGCCUUAAACAAUUGCACAAACAUAAUUAGUAGGGACCCAAAGAAAAAACUGCAAAGCAAACACAUAUAUCGGGGCAGAAAAUAAGAUAAAAUGGCUGAUGGAUAAAUAAAAUGUCAUUAGAGGAGAAAUGACUAAGAGAAAGAUCAAUGAGGAUGUAGUCAGGUGUGCUAUGGGGGACUUCAAAUGGACUAUUUAGCCAAAGGCCUUAUUUCCUGGAUCAUCUGAUAUAGGGAAGGUGGGUAGAUGGGACACUUACAGGUGUGCAGGAGCCAAAAUGGUGCCAAGCAGUCUCUAACAUGAGGCCUGCAUGAAGAUCUCUCCAGGCUCCCCAGCUUGGGUGGGUUGAGCUCCCACGGGUGAACUGGUGCAUGGAGCGGCUGGCCUGCAUGAAGCAGUGGCUCUGUGGCCACUUACCUAUCUGCUCAGCUCCACUGCCUGUCAGGAAAGACGAUGGCUCUUCAAACAGCCUUUGGCCAGUCUUAACAGCUCUGCAAUGUUAGCAACUAUGUAGCUUUAAUCGCUGUAGCGCCGAUCUCGCCCUCUCUCACUGAUCGCUGACUUGCCACUUCUCCAAUAGCUGUCUCGCCCAUUGCUGAUCGCUAUGUCCAUCUUCUCACAAAAUGCCAUCUCUUGCUGUCUCUUGCUGUCUUGCUUCUCCACUGUUUCUGCUGUCUCACCACCACAUCAAACACUGCCUCUCACCAUGUCCCAUUUAUCCUCCCUCCUUAUUAAACAUCCAUCUGCAUGUCCAGGCCUGGCAUCCCCAGGCUGAUGUCUCUGUCCUGGGCCAGGUACUGGAGAGUAUUGUUCCUCCAACUUCACCAAUAAGCCAUGGUUCUCUCAAAUCAAACCUUCUUAGUGUGCCAAUUUUGCCAAGAAGGUUUGCUGUGCACUGGUUGCCAACUCACCCAAAUCUAGUGAGACAGAACACCCAUGCACAACCAGUUACAUGAAGUGGAUUACUACUUACAGAGUCAGCAAGAGAGAGCACAAAGCUGCCUGGGCCUGAUUGACUCUAGACCUUGCAUAACACAAAAGGACCGCAGCUGAGGGACCCUGGAAUGCAGCCCACCCUGGGUUUUAUGUCUUAGAAUCACAUGACACACUGGGCUACAGUGUUGAAGGAAUUCCUGUUUCUAGUAGGGACAGAAACAGAACCCAGGCUGUUCUGGCCAAUCAUGCCCUAUCUCAGAAUGUUACAGUUCCAGAACAUUCUACAGUUAUUCCUGAAAACUACAAUCAAGAAAAGGAAGGAGACUGGGUUAAUUCGUGACUAAAUGGAAACUGUUCUGCAAAUACCACAGUGAAAUCAAAACUCAGUAUUUUUGAGACUGGGUUAUUUCACUUAGUGUAAUGUCCUCUAGUUCCAUCCAUGUUGUAGCAUGUGUCAGAAUUUCCCUUUUUAAAACUAAAUAAUAUGGAAUAGUAUGUAUAUUACCACAUUUGGAUUACCAGUUCCCUCCUUUGUGAACAUUUGAGUUGCUUCUACAUUUGGCUACUGUGAAUAAUUUGCUUCUGAAUGUGGAUAUACAAAUAUCUCCUCAAUUUAAUGUCUUCCAUUACUUGGGUAUAUGUCCAAAAGUGGAAUUGCUGAAUUAUAUAGUAUUUCUAUUUUUAAUCCUUCGAGGAAUUGCCAUCUUGUUUCCCACAGCAGGUGGGCCAUUUACAUCACCACGACAGUGUCCACAGGAGUUCCAGUUCCCUAAAUUCUCACCAAGACUGGUCACCCUCUGUUGGAAAAAAACAUUCUAACAGGCAUCAGGGACAUCAUCCUGACCCAGACACCAGC
rnacentral:lncRNA from 1 species